rnacentral:rRNA from 1 species
AGGAUAAACGCUGGCGGCGUGCCUAACACAUGCAAGUCGAACGCCCUUUUUCUUCGCAAGAGGGGGGAGGGAGGGGCGGACGGGUGAGGAACACAUGGGUGACCUACCUUUCAGUGAGGAAUACCGGCGAGAAAUCGCCGACAAGACCGCAUGAGCUUCCCUCGGUCGGCGGGGGAAGGAAAGCUCUUUUCUUGAAUAAGGAGGGGGGCGCUGGAAGAUGGGCCUGUGGCCGAUUAGCUAGUUGGUGAGGUAACGGCUCACCAAGGCGACGAUCGGUAGCUGGUCUGAGAGGACGAUCAGCCACACUGGGAUUGAGAACGGCCCAGACUCCUACGGGGGCAGCAGUGGGGAAUUUUCCGCAAUGGGCGCAAGCCUGACGGAGCAACGCCGCGUGCAGGAGACGGUUUUCGGAUCGUAAACUGCUUCUCGUCGGGGACGAGAACGGACGGUACCCGAGGAAUCAGCCCCGGCUAACUACGUGCCAGCAGCCGC